GGGCCAAUAGUCUAUCGGCUAGGACGCAGCCCUUACAAGGCUGAGAGCGCAGUUCAAUUCUGCGUUGGCCCA
rnacentral:tRNA from 1 species